UAUUAAGAGGGUUCUCGAGUGCCAGGCUCUGCUCAGGUUUUCCCCAGCUCUGUUGGAAGGGGCAACACAGCUGUGCCUCCAAGAGGGUGAUGCAAAGCCCCCUGCCUCCCAAAAAGGAGUCUGAUGCCUUGGGUCAUGGGAGGCUGGCUACAAGAGACUGCAAAGCAGCAGCUUUGAUGAGGACAACACAAAGCCUCCAGCCCUUAGCAGCCACCUCUAAGAAAGGCAGCCAGUGAUGAGCAACACAAGCUACAAAGUUCACUUCAAUGAAUACAGAAUAUUUUUACAAAACUGGGCCCAUGUGAACCGCAUGAAGUUCAACAAGUCCAAGAGCAAGGUGCUGCACUUGGGAUGGGGCAAGUCCAGAUGUGAGCACAGACUGGGAGAAGAACUCACUGAGAGCAGCCCUGCAGAGAAGGACUUGGGGGUUCUGGUGGACAAAAAGCUCGACAUGAGCCAGCAGUGUGUGCCUGCAGCCCAGAAGGCCAACUGCAUCCAGGGCUGAAUCAACAGAGGGUGGCCAGCAGGGAGAUGAUUGUGACCCUCUGCUCUGCCCUUGUGAGGCCCUACCUGGAGUGCUGUGUCCAGGUCUGGGAUGUGGGGCUGUUGGAGUGAAUCCAGAGAGGGCUACAAGACGCUCAGAGGACUGAAGCACCUCUCUUCUGAAGAAAGGCUGAGAGAGUUGGGGAUGUUCAGGCUGGAGAAGAGAAGGCUCCAGGGAUACCUCGUUGCAGCCUUCCAGUACUUAAAUGGGUCCUAUAAAAAAGGAUGG